UACGAAGGGGGCUAGCGUUGCUCGGAAUCACUGGGCGUAAGGCGCACGUAGGCGGGUCGUUAAGUCGGGGGUGAAAUCCUGGAGCUCAACUCCAGAACUGCCUUCGAUACUGGCGAUCUUGAGUCUGGGAGAGGUGAGUGGAACUCCGAGUGUAGAGGUGAAAUUCGUAGAUAUUCGGAAGAACACCAGUGGCGAAGGCGGCUCACUGGCCCGGUACUGACGCUGAGGUGCGAAAGCGUGGGGAGCAAACAGG
rnacentral:rRNA from 1 species